GAUGAAGAACGUAGCGAAAUGCGAUACGUAAUGUGAAUUGCAGAAUUCAGUGAAUCAUCGAGUCUUUGAACGCACAUUGCGCCCCCUGGUAUUCCGGGGGGCAUGCCUGUCCGAGCGUCAUUGCUGCCCUCAAGCACGGCUUGUGUGUUGGGCCUCCGUCCUCCUCCCGGGGGACGGGCCCGAAAGGCAGCGGCGGCACCGCGUCCGGUCCUCGAGCGUAUGGGGCUUCGUCACCCGCUCUUGUAGGCCCGGCCGGCGCAUGCCGACACAUCAAUCUUUUUUCCAGGUUGACCUCGGAUCAGGUAGGGAUACCCGCUGAACUUAAGCAUAUCAAUAAGCGGAGGA
rnacentral:misc_RNA from 1 species